CUGGAUUCUAGCCCAGAUCUCCCAGUGAGUUCCAGGAAGCCUUGGGAGGGUCUCCUAAGCUCUCUAAGCCUCAGUUCCUGCAAAGGAAACAACAGUGAGAGGUUGGUGGGACCCUCUAGGGCUCUCCCAGCAUUAAAAUCUCAGUAUGUUUAGCCUCCAAGGCCAUGCUGACCCCCAUCCGAGCAGGGGAAGUGUGUUUAUUUUGAAUGAUUGCUGUUGCAAAAGCGACGGAAGAGGAAGAAAUCUUCUUCUCGGGAUAUCCAGGCAAAAGGCAUAGCCCUACUGCCAUUCCUGGGAAGCCCAUCCUGAAGCAGGUGGUGUGGUGACUGCCACUCGCAAGGAGGCACGAGGACCGUCACUACCGUCCAGGGACCAGCCCCGGCCCCCUGGAGAAAUGGUUCUGGAGGCUGCUGUGAGAGCACCUGUGAUGUGUCACCAGGCUCUCUUGUCCGGCCAUAGCCUGAAAGGAAGAGAGGCAGUGACCAGGGACUUCAGGAACAGUUGCUGUGAGCACUCAGAGCAAGACAGAGUGGCG
ensembl:lncRNA